rnacentral:rRNA from 1 species
UACGAAGGGGGCUAGCGUUGUUCGGAUUUACUGGGCGUAAAGCGCACGUAGGCGGAUCGUUAAGUCGGGGGUGAAAUCCUGGAGCUCAACUCCAGAACUGCCUUCGAUACUGGCGAUCUUGAGUCCGGAAGAGGUGAGUGGAACUCCUUGUGUAGAGGUGGAAUUCGUAGAUAUUAGGAAGAACACCAGUGGCGAAGGCGGCUCACUGGUCCGGUACUGACGCUGAGGUGCGAAAGCGUGGGGAGCAAACAGG